GGGGGCGCUUGGAAUCGACGGGGAGAGUGGAGGCUAGAGUAGCGAGCCGAGUUUCUCCGCCAGACUCGUUAAACGGGCGGUACGGCUUACAAAUGCCGACUAUGAUUACGCAUUAGCUGCUUAAUAGAAUUUAAGUAGCCGUCCUCUCCAGGUUUGUCGGCGGCUUGGAUGUAGGGCGUCAUUAUAGCCGACUACCGUCUUCCUGGCUCUCGGCGGGAAAGACGGGAAACCGCACCGGGAUAGCUGUUCUGAUCGCCUGCCUAUCGACAGUCAGGACAGCGAAACUUAAUCGAUAGGCUGCGCUCGGAGAAGCUCUGGUCGAUACCUCUUCGGACGUGGGUUCGACUCCCACCGCCUCCACCA
rnacentral:tmRNA from 1 species